rnacentral:lncRNA from 1 species
AUAAGAGGAAUAGAAGAUCCCAUCUGCCAUCUACUUCGCACCUAAGGAGAUCUAUUACGCUCUAUAUUGAGACGAUCUUUUUGGUAGAUCACCCAAAUGUGAAUUGCAAACUUUAUAAAUCCGGGUGCAUCCGAUGUGAAGAAGGCAUCUAUGUUCAAAGCUAUCACUAUGCAGACAGAAAUGGAUGGGAUGCUGGGCUUUCUGUCCUUGUGAAAUCUAUCGAUGGGCUACAGAUGGUGAGCAUAAAAAUCGCAGGUAGCAUCCAUUUGACUUCUGCAUCUUCAAUCUGCAACACCGGACAUUAUGUCUGUUUCUCCUCGCAGGCUUCUCAGAUGGCAGCACCCAGGACCGA